AAUGUUAGUGGCGCACGGGUGAGUAAUGCGUAGGAAUCUACCUAGUAGCUACGGAAUAGCCAUUAGAAAUGGUGGGUAAUACUGUAUAAUCCCCGAGGGGGAAAGAUUUAUCGCUAUUAGAUGAGCCUACGUUAGAUUAGCUAGUUGGUGAGGUAAUGGCUUACCAAGGCUAUGAUCUAUAGCUGGUCUGAGAGGACGAUCAGCCACACUGGAACUGAGAUACGGUCCAGACUCCUACGGGAGGCAGCAGUGGGGAAUAUUGGACAAUGGGCGAAAGCCUGAUCCAGCUAUGCCGCGUGAGUGAAGAAGGCCUUCGGGUUGUAAAACUNUUUC
rnacentral:rRNA from 1 species